rnacentral:rRNA from 1 species
CCUACGGGAGGCAGCAGUGGGGAAUAUUGCACAAUGGGCGAAACCCUGAUGCAGCGACGCCGCGUGAGUGAAGAAGUAAUUCGUUAUGUAAAGCUCUAUCAGCAGGGAAGAAAAUGACGGUACCUGAGCAAGAAGCUCCGGCUAACUACGUGCCAGCAGCCGCGGUAAUACGUAGGGAGCAAGCGUUAUCCGGAUUUACUGGGUGUAAAGGGAGGGUAGAUGGCAGUGCAAGUCUGGAGUGAAAAGCGAGGGCUCAACCCCGGGACUGCUGUGGAAACUGUACAGCUGGAGUGCAGGAGAGGUAAGUGGAAUUCCUAGUGUAGCGGUGAAAUGCGUAGAUAUUAGGAGGAACACCAGUGGCGAAGGCGGCUUACUGGACUGUAACUGACGCUGAGGCUCGAAAGCGUGGGGAGCAAACAGGAUUAGAUACCCGUGUAGUC